rnacentral:rRNA from 1 species
CACCUGCCGAAGCAACCAGCCCUGAAAAUGGAUGGCGCUAUAGCGUUUUGCCUAUACUCGACCGCCGGAACGGAGCUGGCCUCGGAGGAGGUUCGAGCCCUUAUGUUCCGGUGAGUAGGGGGGCGCGGCGGUGAGCGUCGAAGGGUCUGGGCGUGAGCCUGCCUGGAGCCGCCGCCGGCGCAGAUCUUGGUGGUAGUAGCAAAUACUCAAGUGAGAUCCUUGAGGGCUGACGUGGAGAAGGGUUCCAUGUGAACAGCACUUGCACAUGGGUGAGUCGAUCCUAAGCCGGAAGCGAAAGCUGCUCCAAUGCAUCGGGCCACGACUUUACGAAGCGGGCGCCCCGAAGGAGUUCGGCGAAAGGGAAUCCGGUACUCAUUCCGGAACCCGGCUGUGGGGAGUAGUGGCGCCUCGUGCGUCACCUAGCCGCAAGGCAUAUGCCUACCCGGAUAUGUCCAACCGAAGGGCCGGGAAGAGUUUUCUUUUCUGGUUAAGGGGCUGAGGGCCUUGUGAACCGGGUCGGUCGGAGAGAGGGUCUUGGCCCCCAAGAGCGCCGCGGUUCUUGCGGCGUCCGCGCUCCUUCGGUCUGGAACUUGAAAAUCCGGGGGCGAGAAAGCGUACCUUCACACCGGUUCGUACCCAUAUCCGCAUCUGGUCUCCGAGGUGAACAGCCUCUAGUCGAUAGAUUAAUGUAGGUAAGGGAAGUCGGCAAGUCAGAUCC